rnacentral:rRNA from 1 species
CCUACGGGUGGCUGCAGUGGGGAAUAUUGCACAAUGGGGGAAACCCUGAUGCAGCGACGCCGCGUGGGUGAAGAAGCGCCUCGGCGCGUAAAGCCCUGUCAGCAGGGAAGAAAAUGACGGUACCUGAAGAAGAAGCCCCGGCUAACUACGAGCCAGCAGCCGCGGUAAUACGUAGGGCGGAAGCGUUAUCCGGAUUUACUGGGUGUAAAGGGGGCGCAGACGGCGAUGCAAGCCAGGAGGGAAAGCCCAGGGCCUAACCCCGGGACUGCUCUUGAAACUGCGUGGCUAGAGUGCAGGAGGGGUAGGCGGAAUGCCUGGUGUAGCGGUGAAAUGCGUAGAUAUCAGGAGGAACACCGGUGGCGAAGGCGGCCUGCUGGACUGCAACUGACGUUGAGGCACGAAAGCGUGGGGAGCAAACAGGAUUAGAUACCCGUGUAGUC